AUGACGAGCGACCGAGACGUGCGAUGGCGAGUCUCCUUCGCCGCCGACCUGAUGACGGGCGCUCUCCGGUUCGUCGACGGGGAGGUCGUACUUCGUCGAGGGGCACUGCGACUCGUUCUCUUAGACGAGCGCGGUAUCAUCGUGGACGCGCGAUAUCUCCGCGAGGGCGAGUCCAUCGACAUUGGAGACAUGAUCUCGUUUCCCUGCUACUUCGCGAAGGUUCGAGAUCGUCUGCCGGCGGCGGGCUCGUCGGCGGGAGAUACGGUGGAGGAUGCGAGGCGACCAGGCGCGGUACACGGAAACAACGAGGGGCGGUACACGGAGGACCGGGUGCGGUGCGGCACGGGCACGACCUCGCGCCCCCACCCAUCCAUGGUGGAUGGGCGACACGUGGGUGCACAUCCAAACAUCCAUUCUCGGCCACGGGCUCGCGGUGAGGGUAUAAAUCAUCCGCCCCGCCCCCUACUUGACCUAGACUCCGCCCUCGCCCACUUCUGGACGGCGGAAAAAAACCCUAGAUCGAGAUCUGGAGAGGAGUGGGGGUGGUGGAGAGGCAAGGUGGGUGGAGAUCCUCGAUCCUUUGCGGAGGUAGCUGCCUCGCCCCCCAUGGCGGCUGAUGCGGGGCGCGGGUAUUUGGGGGGAGCGGCGUCAAGGCGCGGAUGCGGGCCGUGCGAGGCGCGGCAUGGGUCGCGGUGCGGGGAGGAACGGCGGUCGCGGCAACGGCCGUGGCGACGACAAGAGCAAGUACUCCUGGAAGCGGAGCGAGGGCGACGGCGACCGCACCAUCUCUGCCUCGUCCAAUCCCAGCUCUGCUACGGCGGACACCUCGUGCUGGGAUGCGGCUGCGGCUACCAGGCGCCAUGA
rnacentral:rRNA from 1 species